UCCUCCGUGGCGCAAUUGGCUAGCGCGUUCGACUGUUAGAAAUGAUAGUCUAUCGAGAGGUUGGAAGUUCGAGCCUUCCCGGGGGAG